rnacentral:lncRNA from 1 species
CCAUUUAACACUCUUUUACCAGUUGGAAAGUAAUUGUGAAUAGGCUUCAAGCUAGCAAGAACAUAAUGAGUUUGAGGAGGAACCUACUAAAUCUAAUAUGCUAUGGACAACUUGGAUAGCACUUGACCACAAUUCUUUUCUUCUCAUUCUUCUCGAGGUACACAUUCUUCUUGUUCUGCAAACCAUACUCUUUCACCUCAGUUUUAACUAAAAGACCAGUGGCAAAGAUCUGACCCUCCUCAAAUACUACAGGUUCAUUGUUAAUACCCAACUUAAACCUAUUCAGUUUCCUCCUUCUUCAUCUCUCUUCUUCCUCAGAUACAUCAAGACUUUCUAGUAUAUCUCAGACUUCAUCCUCAUCUUCAAAGUCUUCCAAACCAGUCACUUCAGGGUUCCUAGAUUGUUCAACACCAACUAAAGAUCGAUUAUGGUUAACUGAAUGACCACCAAGGGUUGGGUUCACAGUCUGGUUAGGCAAAACAAUGGUCCAAUCCCUGUCUUCAUCAAAAUCACUAUCAUCAACAAAUACCUCAUCUACACUUCCAUCCUCAUUUUCUAAUUCAUACUCAGGAACGUCUCCCUCCUCACAACCAUUGUAAUCAGGAUCAGACUCAUCUUAGUCUUCAUCAAUUUUAGCUGGUUUCUUCCCUUUGUCAAGUAUAACAACCUUUUCAACCUCACUAUCAUACCUGCUGUCAGUAACAUCCACAUAUUUGGCUUCAACAUAAAACUCAGCUCCUACUACAUUCUUAUAUUCAUUUACGAACCUAACAACAUCCCUAUCAGUUUUCAACAACCUUAGACCAUCAACUAUAUCAAAACCUGGACAUAUAUACAACAGCUUGUAGUCCUCUACCACCCCAAUCUCUCUGAUCAGUUUAUCUAAAUCUAUUAAGUUCACCUCAUCAGUGUUCCACUCACCACCAAAUUCAUGUAUUUCACCCUUCUUAUAAGCUAC